GCAGUGUUCCUUCCCACUGUGGCUGAUCCUGCAGGGUUUCCAAACCUCCCUCCCCGACAGACAGCCGGGGAAGCACGUCUCUGCGACGAGAAACCCAAGGAAGCUGCAGAAGAGAUUCUUCGUCUGCCCCUGUUCGGGGAAGCGGGGAAGCCCCUCGUCCGCAAAGGGGUUCAUUACAACUAAGAACCUACCAGGAGUUACUCUUCCCCCACAAGAUCCAGAAUGCCUUUCGGUUUCCUCUAAUGAAGCAGCAGCCUGACCAAGUCCUACCCACUGCUCUAGUCCCGAGAACUCCAGCUGCAGCGCACAAAAGGAAAGUGAACACGGGGAAAGCUGGGACUUUGUUGAGGGUCACAGAGGAGCGGUUCCACGGGGUGCCAGGGGUGUGGGAGCAGAGUCUUGGCCUUUGGAGCAGGUAGCCUGCAUGGUGAAAAGUGAUGGGAAUAGUGCUGCGUUCAGAUACAGGAUGGACCGCAAUAACAAAGAGACUCAAUGCGGUGGCUGAGAGGCAAGUUCAUUUCUCUUACCCAGGGAUGGAGCAGGUGAUCCAGAGCUACAGCAGUGGCUCCAUGGGGCAGGGAGCCAGGCUCUCCGCCUUGUUACUCCACCUUCUCCUAGGGGAUUCCUUUGGUCCAGGUGGUUCCUUCACAUGAAUGAUGGCUUCAUAGUCCAGCAGGUACGAAGGAGAAAAGAGUGAGGGAAGGCGCAACCGCUCUUUUGAAGGCCAUGGCCUGGAACUUACCCAGCUUCCUACCUUAACUGAGUGACAUGAGCACAACUAGAAAAGGAGGCUGGGAAAUGUAGUCUUAAUGCUACGUUGUCCUAUGACCAGCAAAAAUGUGGGGAUUUCAUUAUUAAAGGCAGAAAGAGAGCAUGUUAGGGGGACAAGAAGGCAAUCAAAGGGGUAGAUUAGGAGGGAUGGGAAUAUCGUCGUCCACCCAGCAAGGAAGACAGUGUUGGGCACAUAAAGGAGAGUGGGAAAUGUCAAGGCAGAAAUGACAGCUGAUGAUGACGGGGGGAACGAAGCCACUGACCACUGAGGACCCUGUGAUCUGGAUGGCAAAGAGGGUAUUGUGUUAGGAGGCCAGCAAAGACAGGGACCUGGGGUUCACUGGGGCGUUGUGCAGGGCGCUGCGGCAUGGUGGGCACACUGACUGUGGGACUGUAGAAGAAAGUACAGUUUGGGGACUGGCGCGUCAGCACCUCAGUGUCUUUACUGGGAAAAUCUGGUUCUGUCUGGGAUUUUUCUCUGCUAUGUGAAUUCCUUGCUCAUUCACUAUGGGGUCACUUCAUUGAUUUUCUACUCUUUUUUCUAUUUUCUUAUAUGAGCUGUUCUCAUUAAUCUCUACUGCCAAUUGUUUCAAUGUAACGGUAUUACCAAGAGGUACCGUUGGACUACGGACUUUCUGAGGUGUUUUAGAUGUGACCUUGACUUGGUUAAAAAGGAUGGAUGCAAUCACCUUCCAAAAUCUCCAAAUUUAUCACCCUAAAACCUCCAGUUGGGUGGUUGAAAACUGCAAUAUAAAGUCAGACAGAUUUAAACUGGCAUGAAACAAUGUAGAGAAGGCUUAUCAGUACACUUAAAAAACACUUUUAUAGUUUUCAUCUCCAUCCUCAAUUUGAUAGCUCCAAGCUACAAAUGAUUCUUAUAAACAUCUGCUUCUUGUGUUUAUUAUGGUUUUGGAUUUUUGUGCCAAGAAUAUGCAUGACAGGGCUGCCAUUCUUUUCGACCAAAUGUAUCUGAACAUGUGUUUCUGCAUUCUCAUCUGUUUCUCUGUAGAGAAAACAUGCAUUGAACCAACAGCAUGUCUGGAGCAGUAUCUUGUGAUUUCAACAGCUUCCCUCUGUGAUCCACCAAACAGAUAUUCAUGGUGGGCACUCUGUGCUCUCAGCCUGAAUCUAACUCUGCCAAGCCGUGGUUCUCCAGCUCAGAUAUGGAUGGUGUUAACCGGGGGUCUUCCGGGUUGUUGGAGCCUCCAGAGCCUGGAGGAAGUGCAGCGUGUCAAGUGUGCCUAUGCAAACUCAGCUUUAAUCUGCUAAGAAGUGACAGAGCAUAUUGGAUGACGGGAAAACCUGCCAUAUUGUUCCUCAAGCACUGAAUCAUCAAGAAAUGCUCAGUAGCGAUGAAUACGAAGGCAAGCACCUCAUCACCUGGACAAGCAGGCAGCGACGAGUGCCCUUUUUUGCAGAUGGGCAACCAAGGAAGCAAGUGACCCUUCAGAGAUUCCAGUAUCGUGGCCUGAACGUACAGAAAUGUUCCAGGCCAGGCUGAUCCUGCCGUCUUGCCCCCAAGCUGAAGAGGUCACAGCAUCACUGUUCAAACCUCAUGUCUUGGCCCUUUUCUGCUAGCCAGUGCCUCAGAGAGUCCACCGCACCUGGUAGGAGAAGGUGGCGGCUUUAAGUCCUGUGGCCAGUUCAAACCUAGGCCAGGACUCUUCUUUCUGUAAUCAACUUGUUUUUCAACUUCAUCUUGUUUAUUGCCAAAUCUAGCUUUGUGACGUCGGCUUACUUGAUUAAGUUCUUGAAACUGUGGUUUCCUGAUUUAUUAAAUUGGAGCAAUGACACCCA